GAUGAACGCUAGCGGGAGGCCUAACACAUGCAAGCCGAGCGGUAGAGUUUCUUCGGAAACUUGAGAGCGGCGCACGGGUGCGUAACACGUGUGCAACCUACCUUUAUCUGGGGGAUAGCCUUUCGAAAGGAAGAUUAAUACCCCAUAAUAUAAUGAUUGGCAUCAAUUAUUAUUGAAAACUCCGGUGGAUAGAGAUGGGCACGCGCAAGAUUAGAUAGUUGGUGAGGUAACGGCUCACCAAGUCAAUGAUCUUUAGGGGUCCUGAGAGGGAGAUCCCCCACACUGGUACUGAGAAACGGACCAGACUCCUACGGGAGGAAGCAGUGAGGAAUAUUGGACAAUGGGUGAGAGCCUGAUCCAGCCAUCCCGCGUGAAGGAUGACGGUCCUAUGGAUUGUAAACUUCUUUGUACAGGGAUAAACCUACCCUCGUGAGGGUAGCUGAAGGUACUGUACGAAUAAGCACCGGCUAACUCCGUG
rnacentral:rRNA from 1 species